rnacentral:rRNA from 1 species
GGACAUAUCAUAACGAAGAGGUAUCGUAAUUGAAGAGGUUUGGAAAGACCCACCACAGAAGGUAAUAGUCCUGUAUGUUAAACGAGAAGACUUCAGAUAUGAUCCAGAGUACCACGGGACACGUGAAACCCUGUGGGAAGCAGGAGGGACCACCCUCCAAGGCUAAAUACUACCUAGUGACCGAUAGCGUAUAGUACCGUGAGGGAAAGGUGAAAAGAACCCCGGGAGGGGAGUGAAAUAGAACCUGAAACCCUGCACUUACAAGCUGUGGAAGCACAUUUCUUGUGUGACCGCGUACUUUUUGUAGAACGGGCCAACGAGUUACGUUAAGUAGCAAGGUUAAGCACUUAAGGUGCGGAGCCGUAGCGAAAGCGAGUUUUAACUGAGCGUUCAGUUACUUGACGUAGACCCGAAACCGGGCGACCUACCCAUGAGCAGGAUGAAGCGAAAGUAAAAUUUCGUGGAGGUCCGAACCCACGAGCGUUGAAAAGCUCGGGGAUGACUUGUGGGUAGCGGUGAAAUUCCAAUCGAGCCCGGAGAUAGCUGGUUCUCCCCGAAAUAGCUUUAGGGCUAGCCUCAAGGUGAGAGAUACGGAGGUAGAGCACUGAAUGUCCUAGGGGGUAUUGCACCUACCGAAGACUAUCAAACUCCGAAUGCCGUCAUCUUAUACUUGGGAGUCAGACUGUGGGUGAUAAGAUUCAUAGUCGAAAGGGCAACAGCCCAGAUCGUCAGCUAAGGUCCCUAAAUGUAAGUUAAGUGGUAAAGGAUGUGGGAUUGCACAGACAACCAGGAUGUUGGCUUAGAAGCAGCCACUCAUUCAAAGAGUGCGUAAUAGCUCACUGGUCGAGUGAUCCUGCGCCGAAGAUUUCCGGGGCUAAAACUU